UGCAGGCCAACACAUCCAGGCGUGGUCACAGCCUCUUCUCAACUCAUUUGCCUUCCCAUCAGAGUGAUUAGGCCCAAGGUGGCCGCCCCACGGGACGCCAAUCUGCAGCACGCGGCGGGACGCUCCUCCUGGUGUGUUCACCUGACGAAGGAUACGAAGAAGAACAACACAAGACACUUUCUGUAACGCUUCUCAAGUCUCUGUAUUCAUUCCACUGGUCAGGACACAUCGGUCCAUUCUUUCCCCUCACCCGUGGCUCCGUAUGGUGGCCGAUGUUAACACGGAUCCUGACAAGUGUAGGGAAUCCACACUCAGCCUCAUGUUGGGAAGGGAGGCUCUGGUGCUGAGGAAGUGUGUCCUUCGCCCGCUGGGAGAUCAUUUGAUUUCUGUAGUGCCUGUGAGCUGCUUGGAGUGUCACUAAGGAGCUGAGAAGCCUGAAGGUAGUGGUUCUGUCCUCGCAAAUCCUCGUCCUCUCGAAAAUCAUCGCUUCUUGCUUCGUCCUCGAGGGAAAAUCUCGUGCCCGGCAGUGUCACUAAGCUUCGUGACCUCUUCCUCGAGACAAAUCUUCGCUCUUGGACUGUUCAUGACACAACAGUAGGACUCCCAGGGGCGGUGCUUGGCUGUACACAGUGACACACCAGGACAACAGCAAACGGCAGCCAGCCAGCCUCACAGAACCAUCGGGAGCAGUCAGUCAGCCAGCCAGCCAGCCAUUCAGCCAGUCAGCCAAUCAGUCAGCUAGCCAGUCAGCCAGUCAAUCGGCCAGUCAGUCAGUCAGCCAGUCAGUCAGUCAGUCAGUCAGUCUGUCUGUCAACCAAGUCAAUCACCCAGCCAGUCUGCCAAUCAGUCAGCCAGUCAGCCUUCCAAUCAGUCAGUUAGUGUACAGUGUGGUGCAAGACUAGUGGUGACCAGUGACUUGUGGUGCUGGGGUCUGGUGGGGGCGUCCAGGCCACCACCUCGCCCCUCACACAGCUCCCCUUGUUGUCACCGUCCAUACACGCUGAGUCCUCGCAACGUGAUCAACCCUUAUCGCCUUACACGCCCCGGCCUCGACAGUGUGACCCAACCCUGUGCCCCCCCUGACCCGUGUGUGUGUGUGUGUGUGUGUGUGUGUGUG